rnacentral:rRNA from 1 species
AGUUCGAUCGUGGCUCAGAUUGGAACGCUGGCGGGAUGCUUUACACAUGCAAGUCGAACGGCAGCACGGACUUCGGUCUGGUGGCGAGUGGCGAACGGGUGAGUAAUGUAUCGGAACGUGCCUAGUAGCGGGGGAUAACUACGCGAAAGCGUAGCUAAUACCGCAUGAGUCACGCCCCUUCGGGGAAAGCGGGGACCUUCGGCCUCGCACUAUUAGAGCGGCCGAUAUCGGAUUAGCUAUUAUGGGGUAAACGGCUCACCAAGGCGACGAUCCGUAGCUGGUUUGAGAGGACGACCAGCCACACUGACUGGGAGAGCGACGUCUGACUCCUACGGAGGCAGCAGUGGGGAAUUUUUGACAAUGGGGGAAACCCCGAUCCAGCCAUCCCGGCGCGUGCGAUGAAGGCUCCUCGGUUGUGGGUGCCACCUUUGGCAGGAAGAAACGGCGACGGACACUAUUCCGCGCAACCGAUUGUACCUGCAAGAAUAAGCACUAUUAACCACGCGCCAGCAGCCGUGGUAACACGUAUAUGUUGUUGACUGGAAUCAUUAAGGAAGCGUAUAUAUGGCCCGGAAAGAAGAUGUGAACCUAGAGCUGACCUAACCUGCAUUUAACUACUGAGCGGUAGAGCGGUAAAUAGAGGAGGUGGAAUGCGUAGCAGUGAAAUGCAGAUAUGAGGAACUACUGAUGGCGAAGGUAACCUCCUUGAACAUCGACGUCAUAACAAAGCGUGGGAGCAAACAGGAUUAGAUACCCUGGUAGUCCACGCCCUAAACGAUGUCAACUAGCUGUUGGGGCCUUCGCCUUGCAGCGCAGCUAACGCGUGAAGUUGACCGCCUGGGAGCACAGGCCCAAAGAUUAAAACUAAAGGAAUUGACGGGACCCGGCUGCUUGUGGAUGAUGUAUUAAUUCGAUGCAACGCGAAAAACUUUACCUACUCCUUGACAUGUCUGGAAUCCCGAAGAGAUUUGGGAGUGCCUGCAAGAGAACCGGGAACACAGGUGCUGCAUGGCUGUCGUCAGCUCGUGGUCAGAUGUUGGGUUAAGUCCCGGCAACGAGCGCAACCCUGUCAUUAGUUGCUACGAAAGGGCACUCUAAUGAGACUGCCGGUGACAAACCGGAGGAAGGUGGGGGAUGACGUCAAGUCCUCAUGGCCCUAUGGGUAGGGCUUCACACGUCAUACAAUGGUCGGGACAGAGGGUCGCCAACCCGCGAGGGGAGCCAAUCCCAGAAACCCGAUCGUAGUCCGAUCUGCAGUUCGCAACUCGACUGCGUAGAAGUCGGAAUCGCUAGUAAUCGCGGAUCAGCAUGUCGCGGUGAAUACGUUCCUCGGUCUGUACACACCGCCCAGCCACCAUGGGAGUGGGUUUUACCAGAAGUAGUUAGCCUAACCGUAAGGAGGGCGAUUACCACGGUAGGAUUCAUGACUGGGGUGAAGUCGUAACAAGGUAA